rnacentral:lncRNA from 1 species
UCUUCUCCAUCAAAACUUCAUGCCUCCAUCAUUUCUCUCUUCCAAUCAAGUCUCUACUCCUUCCAACUGCUGCCCAAAUGUCUUCUCAGCCUUAGAAUGCCAGCAAGAAGAAGCUCCAUGGCCGGCUAAUUUUUUAUCUUCUCGAGAAAUUACUAGAAAGCUUAUAAUGAUAGUACUUUAUUUUUUUAUCUUUUAUACUUUUUUCUUUAUAUGCAAUAAAAGAUUUGACUUUAUUUCUUCAUCUCU